rnacentral:lncRNA from 1 species
CGAUCCUGUAGUGUUAUAUUUGUAGCAAAGAAAUUUAUGCUAUAUUUCUAGAACACUGGGGGGUAUGUAACACUAUGCAGUCAUCGAAAGUAUUGAAAUUAUUAAACAUAAUUUCUAAAGUUUAUAAAUGUAUGUAUUAUUGUUAAACUACAAACGUGACUUUCUAUAUGUACAUGUUUUGGCUUAAGGGAUGUUCAAGUUGAUGACAAUUGUUUUUUCAUUCAGCAACAUGUGGUCAUCGUAUUUAAUUAGAUUUUAUUAGUUUGGCUUUAAUUGACCUAACGUUAAGUAUAUGAGACCAAAAGUAAUGGUCACUUUUUAUAACCAUUUUAUUUGUGGCUAUAGGCUUUCUCAAAGUAAGUACCUAUCAUAAACAAAAUUCUUUCUAAAUUAAAGUCACGUUCGUAGUUGUAUAAAAGAACUGUCCCUAACAAGACAGUUCAGAUGGUAACUAGGCACUGAAUAAAAAUUAGUUCCUCUUUAGCCAUUGGUUUUAUAGUGCCACA